rnacentral:rRNA from 1 species
AAAUUGAAGAGUUUGAUCAUGGCUCAGAUUGAACGCUGGCGGCAGGCCUAACACAUGCAAGUCGAACGGUAACAGGAAGCAGCUUGCUGCUUCGCUGACGAGUGGCGGACGGGUGAGUAAUGUCUGGGAAACUGCCUGAUGGAGGGGGAUAACUACUGGAAACGGUAGCUAAUACCGCAUAAUGUCGCAAGACCAAAGAGGGGGACCUUCGGGCCUCUUGCCAUCGGAUGUGCCCAGAUGGGAUUAGCUUGUUGGUGGGGUAACGGCUCACCAAGGCGACGAUCCCUAGCUGGUCUGAGAGGAUGACCAGCCACACUGGAACUGAGACACGGUCCAGACUCCUACGGGAGGCAGCAGUGGGGAAUAUUGCACAAUGGGCGCAAGCCUGAUGCAGCCAUGUCGCGUGUAUGAAGAAGGCCUUCGGGUUGUAAAGUACUUUCAGCGGGGAGGAAGGGAGUAAAGUUAAUAUCUUUGCUCAUUGACGUUAUCCGCAGAAGAAGCACCGGCUAACUCCGUGCCAGCAGCCGCGGUAAUACGGAGGGUGCAAGCGUUAAUCGGAAUUACUGGGCGUAAAGCGCACGCAGGCGGUUUGUUAAGUCAGAUGUGAAAUCCCCGGGCUCAACCUGGGAACUGCAUCUGAUACUGGCAAGCUUGAGUCUCGUAGAGGGGGGUAGAAUUCCAGGUGUAGCGGUGAAAUGCGUAGAGAUCUGGAGGAAUACCGGUGGCGAAGGCGGCCCCCUGGACGAAGACUGACGCUCAGGUGCGAAAGCGUGGGGAGCAAACAGGAUUAGAUACCCUGGUAGUCCACGCCGUAAACGAUGUCGACUUGGAGGUUGUGCCCUUGAGGCGUGGCUUCCGGAGCUAACGCGUUAAGUCGACCGCCUGGGGAGUACGGCCGCAAGGUUAAAACUCAAAUGAAUUGACGGGGGCCCGCACAAGCGGUGGAGCAUGUGGUUUAAUUCGAUGCAACGCGAAGAACCUUACCUGGUCUUGACAUCCACGGAAGUUUUCAGAGAUGAGAAUGUGCCUUCGGGAACCGUGAGACAGGUGCUGCAUGGCUGUCGUCAGCUCGUGUUGUGAAAUGUUGGGUUAAGUCCCGCAACGAGCGCAACCCUUAUCCUUUGUUGCCAGCGGUCCGGCCGGGAACUCAAAGGAGACUGCCAGUGAUAAACUGGAGGAAGGUGGGGAUGACGUCAAGUCAUCAUGGCCCUUACGACCAGGGCUACACACGUGCUACAAUGGCGCAUACAAAGAGAAGCGACCUCGCGAGAGCAAGCGGACCUCAUAAAGUGCGUCGUAGUCCGGAUUGGAGUCUGCAACUCGACUCCAUGAAGUCGGAAUCGCUAGUAAUCGUGGAUCAGAAUGCCACGGUGAAUACGUUCCCGGGCCUUGUACACACCGCCCGUCACACCAUGGGAGUGGGUUGCAAAAGAAGUAGGUAGCUUAACCUUCGGGAGGGCGCUUACCACUUUGUGAUUCAUGACUGGGGUGAAGUCGUAACAAGGUAACCGUAGGGGAACCUGCGGUUGGAUCACCUCCUUACCUUAAAGAAGC